rnacentral:rRNA from 1 species
GUGCCAACAGCCGCGGUAAUACGUAGGUGCCAGCGUAAAUCGGAAUACUGGGGCGUAAGCGAGCCCAAACCGUUACUUAAGCAGGAUGUGAAAUCCCCGGGCUCAACCUGGGAACUGCGUUCUGAACUGGGUGACUAGAGUGUGUCAGAGGGAGGUAGAAUUCCACGUGUAGCAGUGAAAUGCGUAGAGAUGUGGAGGGAUACCGAUGGCGAAGGCAGCCUCCUGGGAUAACACUGACGUUCAUGCUCGAAAGCGUGGGUAGCAAACAGGAUUAGAUACCCUGGUAGUCC